ensembl:lncRNA
CUGAAGCAAGAGAUCCAAAAAGCUAAAGAACAACAGAUUAAAGCUUUGCAGUAUCAACACUGUACUGGGAAAGAAUUCUUAAACUCUAUCACAGUCUUAUCUGAGUGAUAAUCUGCAUGGGCAUGGAGAGCUGACAUAUAUUUUCUGUUACACUGUUGCCUUAGCGCUAAGAUUUCUUUGAUUUUCUGCUGUCAGCUUUACCACCCAGUGGAGAUGUCCUCAAGCGUUCACCAUUGCUGCCUUUCCUGCUAAGAAAAUAGAAUUUGCAUGUGUUUCAAUACUUUCUGGAAUCCUACCUUCCAUAUGCAGUCUAGGAAUAAUCUGUUUCCUCCGCUGCUUGAAACGCAACAUGGAAAUAGUAAAAGGGAUGCAAAGUAGGCAGAAGCUACACAACUAUCUACUGAAGACAACAUUCAAAUCUUUUAUACUACAUGAAGAGCUUUUGAUCAGCAAUUUUCUACAUGCUUUUAUGUUGGUUAUGUUCAGCUUGUAUGUUCAGUGGGAGUUUUAUCUCCAUCCAUCUUAUAUAGAAUGUAAUACAACCUUAUUCAGAAUGUCACAGAAAAUGAGGAAUGUUACUGUGAUGCUAUCUACUAAGUGUACAAGAGGAAGAUAGCACUUUAGUUUUUGUCGAUUCACACCUUGUUGUAGUUUUACAACAUGAAAAAGUCCUGAUAUCCCUACCCAAGGCAGACAACCCACCACAGAACUUCCGCAGUCAGAAGUGACAAGCCAUGCCAAACAGGGACAAAAGUUAUCUUAGUUUC